UUCUGGCAGAGUAUGCUAAGGCGCUUGAGAGAACUGUAUUGAAGGAACUAGGCAAAUUGCCCUCGUAACUUCGGAAGAAGAGGGCCCGAUUCUUACGCAAGUAGGAGUCGGGGGCACAUAGCAGGGGGUGGCGACUGUUUACUAAAAACACAGGACGCUGCGAAAUCCAAAGAUGACGUAUAGCGUCUGACGCCUGCCCGGUGCUGGAAGGUUAAGAGGAGAUGUGAAAGCGUUGAAUCGAAGCCCCAGUAAACGGCGGCCGUAACUAUAACGGUCCUAAGGUAGCGAAAUUCCUUGUCGGGUAAGUUCCACCUGCACGAAAGGCGUAACGACUUCCCCACUGUCUCCAAUACAGGCUCAGCGAAAUUGAAUUCCCCGUGAAGAUGCGGGGUUCCCGCGGUCAGACGGAAAGACCCUGUGCACCUUUACUGCAACUUUACACUGGCAUUAGGAAUGGGAUGUGUAGAAUAGGUGGUAGGCAUUGAAACCGCGGCGCUAGCUGUGGUGGAGCCGAAAUGUGAAAUACCACCCUUCUUGUUCCUGAUGUCUAACCGCGGUCCCGAAACGGGAUCCGAGACAGUGUAUGGUAGGCAGUUUGACUGGGGCGGUCGCCUCCCAAAGAGUAACGGAGGCGCGCGAUGGUAGGCUCAAUCCGGUCGGAAAUCGGAUGGUGAGUGCAAUGGCAAAAGCCUGCCUGACUGCAAGGUCGACGGACCAAGCAGAGACGAAAGUCGGUCAUAGUGAUCCGGUGAUCCCGAAUGGAAGGGUCAUCGCUCAACGGAUAAAAGGUACGCCGGGGAUAACAGGCUGAUCGCACCCAAGCGUCCAUAGCGACGGUGCGGUUUGGCACCUCGAUGUCGGCUCAUCACAUCCUGGGGCUGUAGCCGGUCCCAAGGGUAUGGCUGUUCGCCAUUUAAAGUGGUACGUGAGCUGGGUUUAGAACGUCGUGAGACAGUUCGGUCCCUAUCUGCCGUGGGUGUUCGAAACUUGAGAAGACUUUUUCCUAGUACGAGAGGACCGGAAAGAACGUAUCUCUGGUGGAUCGGUUGUCACGCCAGUGGCAUAGCCGAGUAGCUAAAUACGGACGAGAUAACCGCUGAAAGCAUCUAAGCGGGAAACUCACUUCAAAACUAGGUUUCGCUUGAGAGCCGGGGAAGACUACCCCGUCGAUAGGCCAGGUGUGUAAGCGCAGCAAUGCGUUGAGCUUACUGGUACUAAUUGCAC
rnacentral:rRNA from 1 species